ACAAAGGCAGCGGUGCUGGGGGUGGAGCACUGGAGGCUGCAAGGACCUGGGAGCCCUAGGGCGGGGCUGCGGACAGCGUGGGGUGGCGUGGCUCGGCACAGUGAGCUGGCUCUGCAGCAGGUGAGCAGCUGAGCCAGGCCAAUGGCGGUGACUGCGGCCCUCUCUGCUGCUGCUGCGGCGGCGGCCCUGUCUGGCCUGGCACUGCGACUGUCGCGUUGGGCUGCGACGCGCAGCUCCUACGGUGCCUUCUGCAAGGGGCUCACACGCACGCUGCUCACCUUCUUCGACCUGGCCUGGCGCCUGCGCGUGAACUUCCCCUACUUCUACAUGGUGGCCUCCGUGAUGCUCAACGUCCGCCUGCAGGUGCGGAUCGAGUGAGCAAACGCUCCCCGCCGCAGCGGAGAGGGUCACCCGUGCCUUCCGCGCCGUCCUGGCCGCCACAGUAAGGACAGCGGGGCCACACGGUGCCUCGAGACUGCGGCGGGGGGCGCAGGCGGCACGGCCGGGGCCCCUCCAUUUUAGGUCUCUGCUGAGGGCCUAAGGAACCGCAUCCCACACCGCAAAAACCUUCACAGCCCAGUCCUUUUCCUCUGCAUCCAGAGAAUCGCCAGAGUCUGGCAAACCUGUUGCCUCCCCAUUGGCCGAAAGCGGGAGAGGCCCAAAGAAGGGAUGCUACCACAGGACUUUAUUUACCAGGCCCUGUGCCUGAAGACAUUGGUCUUCUGGGUGAUGGCUCACCCCGUCUCUGAACAUUUCAAAUCGGAUCCUAGAGGUGCCACUGUUGCUGUAGUAGCCCAGGUAGCAGCUGAGUGAAGAGCCUGCCUAGAAGGAGAGGGGCCUUUCUGGUGAGCCCAGAGGGGUGAGGUGGCUCAGGUCUCCUGGUCCCUCCACAGAAAAGCCUUGGACACUGAUAUCUCCCAGUAAGUGUGAGGGAGAUGUGCUCUCCCACCUGUUACACGAGAAGAGGAGAGAGCCCAGCCUGUCUUGGACCGGCAUUCCUCCAUCCCUGCUACAGUUUCUCCACAACCUGGCAGGACAUUGGGGUUGGGAGGGAGUGGAGAGCUACCAAGGGGCCUAGGGAGAAAGAGAGGCCAUGAGAUAGGGGAGCUGGACGUCUGCAUUCCCUUGGAGUGGUCUGAAAGACAGGUGAACAGUUGAUUUCAUAAAUAGAGGGUAAGGUUCAAGGAUUUCCUAAAAUGUCCAGCCCCCCUCCAGAACCAAGCCCCCCACUUCUCUGGUGCUUGACUAAGAGCUCCUGGGCUAUUGUGUGGUAUGGACAGCCGUGAGGAUGGCAUUGUGGUUUAUAGGGUCAUGAUGUCACUGGAAGGUUGAGGAGAUGUGGCUGAGAGCCAUGGUAUGGCCCUGUUUCUCUGUUCCCAGCUCGCAGGCCCAUCCCUGGCAUCACAUGGGAAAUCUCAUCCAGAGAGGCAGAGGACAGCCUGUCCAGGAGGCCCUAUCUAGGGUAGAAGUUGUGAUCUCUCAAUGCCCAAGAAUGGCCCAAGGGAUACUUUUGCUCCUUAACCCAUACUCCUCCAACUUCUCUGGCACUAGUAUCUCAAGGUCUAUUCAUUCCUUUCCAGCAUGCCAGCCGGCCAGCCCCAGGGACAGAGGGGCCCAACUGCCCACUCAGAGUCAGAUAAAGAUCUCAGUUUGUCUCACCCAAAGGGCACAAACUGAAUGGUGGCUGCCACAUGGCCUCUGCUGCUCACCAUAGGGCAGGACUAAUGGCUUCCUUCUCCCAAGUUUCACUAGUAGUCCAUGUACGUAUGUUUGAAUGCAUGUGUGUGCGCCUGUAUGUAAAUGUGUGUGAUGGGGUGGAGUCAUUGGGUAGGGAAAGGAGCUCCUGGAAAUCCCCUGUUUUCCAAGUUACAGGAAGGAUCAUGGACUACUGGGAGAAAUGAGUGUGAAGCCUGAGGCCCCUUCCUCUUAGACCUCACACUACUACAGGGAAGCUCGUCCCUGCCCAUGCUCAGACAUCGGCUAUGGUGUGAGAUCAGAGCACUGGUAUUAGGCUAGACUUUGGGCCCAGUGAUGUCAUCCUGGAGAGAGGCAGAGUUAGGACUCAGCUUUGAGCUCAUGUCCCGUUCUGGCCCUGAUUAGUCUGUGAGCUUCUGCUUUGGCGUCCCCUUGGCUACUUUUGUUCUUCCGUGGUGCCCUCGCUGUAUGAUGUCAUGGUGCCCUUGCUGUAUGAUGUCAUGGUGCCCUCGCUGUAUGAUGUCAUGGUGCCCUCGCUGUAUGAUGUCAUGGUGCCCUGUAUUUGCAGGCUGUAUGAUGUCAUGGUGCACUGUAUUUGCAGGCUGUAUGGCAGGCAAUGGAGCUUCAAAUUCAGAGACUUAGCCUGGAUGACCUUACAUUUCCAUGUGUGUUGGACUCUGCAUGGCCAGCGCCGUCCGGUCAGAGAUAGGGUUUUAGAAAUUGUCACGUUAUCUCCCAAAGGUAAAAGAACAUCUGUACACCAAA
rnacentral:lncRNA from 1 species